rnacentral:rRNA from 1 species
UACGUAGGAUGCAAGCGUUGUCCGGAAUUAUUGGGCGUAAAGGGCACGCAGGCGGUGCGGUCAGUCAGUUGUGAAAUCUCCCGGCUUAACUGGGAGGGGUCAAUUGAUACUGCCGCGCUUGAGGGUAGAAGAGGAAAGUGGAAUUCCCGGUGUAGUGGUGAAAUGCGUAGAUAUCGGGAGGAACACCAAUGGCGAAAGCAGCUUUCUGGUCUAUUCCUGACGCUGAGGUGCGAAGGCUAGGGGAGCAAACAGG